UACGUAGGGUGCGAGCGUUGUCCGGAAUUAUUGGGCGUAAAGGGCUCGUAGGCGGUUUGUCGCGUCGGGAGUGAAAAUCCAGGGCUUAACUCUGGACUGGCUUCCGAUACGGGCAGACUAGAGGUAUGCAGGGGAGAACGGAAUUCCUGGUGUAGCGGUGAAAUGCGUAGAUAUCUGGAGGAACACCGGUGGCGAAGGCGGCAUCCUGGACCGGCAUUGACGCUGAGGCGCGAAAGCCAGGGGAGCAAACGGG
rnacentral:rRNA from 1 species